ACAAGCGGUGGAGCAUGUGGUUUAAUCGAAGCAACGCGAAGAACCUUACCAGGUCUUGACAUCCCGAUGCUAUUUCUAGAGAUAGAAGUUACUUCGGUACAUCGGUGACAGGUGGUGCAUGGUUGUCGUCAGCUCGUGUCGUGAGAUGUUGGGUUAAGUCCCGCAACGAGCGCAACCCCUAUUGUUAGUUGCCAUCAUUCAGUUGGGCACUCUAGCGAGACUGCCGGUAAUAAACCGGAGGAAGUGGGGAUGACGUCAAAUCAUCAUGCCCCUUAUGACCUGGGCUACACACGUGCUACAAUGGUUGGUACAACGAGUUGCGAGUCGGUGACGGCGAGCUAAUCUCUUAAAGCCAAUCUCAGUUCGGAUUGUAGGCUGCAACUCGCCUACAUGAAGUCGGAAUCGCUAGUAAUCGCGGAUCAGCACGCCGCGGUGAAUACGUUCCCGGGCCCU
rnacentral:rRNA from 1 species